GUACUUUCUGGAUCCUCCAAGAAGCGGCCAGAGGAAGUGACAGUGCCAGUGUUACAGAUACAACACAAAUGUUCCAGUUAGAAGAAGGAAUUCAAACGGAAUGCCAAGGUCCAAGCCAGGCUCAGGAAACUAAAAGGGAGGAUUGGAGCAACGGAUAAGCUGACUCCAGAGUGAGUCUGGGUCUGCUCUUCCUAUGGGCCACGGUGUUUUGUGACAGAGUCUGCUCCUUAAGACUGAACUCCUCUUUUGACCCAUUUACCACAGCUCAAACAGGCAAGUGACAGGCUUGGGAGAAUCAUUGUGGGGGAAUAGGAUCAUUAAUAACUAUUCAUGUGUCUUUUAGAAAGUAUCCACUUUGCAAUUUAAUGGGAAUUGAUCUUGAAAAUCAUGGAGCGAGAACUCGUGACUACAGCUAAAGAACGAAGAGAAAGGGAGCUGGAAGAGCCUUGAAAGUUUCUAUUACAAAUAGAGCACCAUAUCCUUCAUGCCAAAUCUCAACCCAAGCUCUCUGAACUGCAUCUGUCCAGUGUUUACAAACAACCUCUCAAGGUCUAACCAGCUUUUUUAUAUAACAAACAUACAUACAUGUGUGUCUGUGUGUAUACAGCAAUGCACAGAUAAGGCUCCAGGAGCCUAACACCUCUUUCAAACAUCAGGAGAACCAGCAGAAAAGGGCAGAGCUCCCUCGUGUCCACUGUUACAAUUCCAUUCCAGACUUACGAUGGAAACCAGCUAGUGAGGAAUAAACACCCCACCUUGCCCAGUCCACAGAGAUGCAACAGUAGAAAGUAGGGGCCACUCUUGACUGUAGAGACAGAGUGUUUGUUUUCUUGCCGUGAAUCCCAGUCCUCUCCUCCAGGCCAGCUGCUGAUUGCCUCAGUGGCCCAGAGAAUGUUGAUUCUGGCUGCAAAUGUGGGAGGGGUGAAGUGCAGAAAAGGGAGGAGAGGAGGAAGAGUGCAAAGUAGCCUCGAGAAGCAGCCAGCCUCAACAGCGGAGGAGAGGACAUUAGUCUUUACUGAUGCUUCAAGGUCAGCAGUAACUUGAGGAAAACCCUCCUCAACAGUUCUCUCAGCUCCUCGUGCCCAUGGUACAGUUGGGGGGACUUGCCAGCAAUCACAACCUCCUUCCCAGAAUUCCUUUGAUUGAGUGGGAUAAGAAUGAGAAUGGUGCUGCAUCCUCAUUGCCAGGACUGAGGGGGGAAAUUGUUCACUUCUGCUAGAUCUUGCAUUGCCGAGCCCUUGUGAUUAUAUGUGAGCUUGAUCCGCAUUCGCAGCUG
rnacentral:lncRNA from 1 species